rnacentral:rRNA from 1 species
GCGAACAGAUAAGGAGCUUGCUCCUUUGACGUUAGCGGCGGACGGGUGAGUAACACGUGGGUAACCUACCUAUAAGACUGGGACAACUUCGGGAAACCGGAGCUAAUACCGGAUAAUAUGUUGAACCGCAUGGUUCAAUAGUGAAAGAUGGUUUUGCUAUCACUUAUAGAUGGACCCGCGCCGUAUUAGCUAGUUGGUGAGGUAACGGCUCACCAAGGCAACGAUACGUAGCCGACCUGAGAGGGUGAUCGGCCACACUGGAACUGAGACACGGUCCAGACUCCUACGGGAGGCAGCAGUAGGGAAUCUUCCGCAAUGGGCGAAAGCCUGACGGAGCAACGCCGCGUGAGUGAUGAAGGUCUUAGGAUCGUAAAACUCUGUUAUUAGGGAAGAACAAACGUGUAAGUAACUGUGCACGUCUUGACGGUACCUAAUCAGAAAGCCACGGCUAACUACGUGCCAGCAGCCGCGGUAAUACGUAGGUGGCAAGCGUUAUCCGGAAUUAUUGGGCGUAAAGCGCGCGUAGGCGGUUUUUUAAGUCUGAUGUGAAAGCCCACGGCUCAACCGUGGAGGGUCAUUGGAAACUGGAAAACUUGAGUGCAGAAGAGGAAAGUGGAAUUCCAUGUGUAGCGGUGAAAUGCGCAGAGAUAUGGAGGAACACCAGUGGCGAAGGCGACUUUCUGGUCUGUAACUGACGCUGAUGUGCGAAAGCGUGGGGAUCAAACAGGAUUAGAUACCCUGGUAGUCCACGCCGUAAACGAUGAGUGCUAAGUGUUAGGGGGUUUCCGCCCCUUAGUGCUGCAGCUACGCAUUAAGCACUCCG